rnacentral:misc_RNA from 1 species
GUGUUGCUGUUGGAAACACUCCUGUAAGUUCAAACUAAAAAAAUAAAAUCUUUCUAGUGUUUUAUUUUGUUUGGAUAAAUUGCUAGUUUCAUCCCUGCAUAGGCAGUGUUUCAGUUUUGAUAUUGAAUGAUAGUUGAAAGAGGUGACUUUAUUUUUAAAGUAAUUGUCGAGUUCUCUAAAGAAAAAUAUUAAUAGCAUUUCAAUGGUAAUUUUCUAGUUCCCUAAUUUGACCAUGCUAUAGAACUUCAGUUUGGUUUUAACAAGUCAAUUCUUUCAUUUUUUGUUUCUUCAAAUCAAAAGGCAUCAAAUUCAAUAAUAUACCAAGCACCUAGAUACUUUUAUACAUAACUGUGCAUGUGUAUCUCUACAUGUGCUUUGUGCAAGUUUAUUUUUCUUGCAUGAAAAGAAAUAUGUUGAGAAUUUCUGCAUUGCUAUUUUGGUUAGG